UACGGGGGGGGCAAGCGUUGUUCGGAAUUACUGGGCGUAAAGGGCUCGUAGGCGGCCAACUAAGUCAUACGUGAAAUCCCUCAGCUUAACUGGGGAACUGCGUGUGAUACUGGAUGGCUUGGAUUUGGGAGAGGGAUGCGGAAUUCCAGGUGUAGCGGUGAAAUGCGUAGAUAUCUGGAGGAACACCGGUGGCGAAGGCGGCAUCCUGGACCAAUACGUGACGCUGAGGAGCGAAAGCCAGGGGAGCAAAGCGGG
rnacentral:rRNA from 1 species